UUUCUGUGAUGUAACAAAUUAUUCAGUUCUGCUACCGAGUGUUCGUGAGCGAUAAACCAAAUAUACCAAAAAAACACUAUCUGAGCC
rnacentral:snoRNA from 1 species